ACUCAAACCUGGCAGGGGAGAUACCAUUGUUGUAAAAGUGGUUUUCCCAGGGUAAGGCUCAUCUAUUGCACUUUGGAUGAGCUGACCCCUGUGAUUUCCCCAAACACAGUCCUGGCCUCUUUUGGGAUUGGGGCUGUGCAGCCCUGU
rnacentral:snRNA from 1 species